CAGUUUCCUGAGAAGCCAGUUUCUUAGAGCUGUCAUUCAAGAGUGGGUCAAAUUUGAGAUAUAAAAACCUUUCUCAAGGUAGACUCUUUGGCCCCUAUGCCUAGUAUGUCAGCUGGGCCUCUGAAGCUCUCCUCUUUGAGGUCCUGGCAGGCUCUGGCCCCUGUUGAGAAGGGGAAGCAGUCAUGUGAACUCAUGUGCUGGAAGAAUCCACUCUACCCCUUCCCUGGCUUCUCUGCUGCAAUUUUUGUCUUUAAACGUAUUUUCAGAUCCUUUGCACAUGGCCUGCUAUCAACAAUCCUCUACAAUGAUUCUCAGCAUCACCUAGGGAGCUUAUGUAAAAUCUCAAAUUCCUGGGCCCUAUCCCCAGAGUUUCUUAUCAAGUAAGUCUGCAUUGGGAUCUGAGGAUUUGCAUCUCUAACAAAAAUUCCUAGGCGAUGCUCACACUGUUGGUGUAAGGUUUCCUUGAUGGAGAACUAUCAAAGCAGUCAAAGCUAUCAAAAUAAAAAAGAAUUCUGAUUGGGUGCAGUGGCUCACACCUGUCAUUCCAGCACUUUGAGAGGCCAAGGUGGGCAGAUCACAUGAGGCCAGGAGUUCAAGACCAGCCUGGCCAACAUGGCAGAAACCCCAUCUCUACUAAAAAUACCAAAAUUAGCCGGGCAUGGUGGAACACACCUGCAAUCCCAGCUACUCGGGAGGCUGAGGCAAGAGAAUCGCUUGAACCUGGGAGGCAGAAGUUGCAGUGAAACAAGUUGGUGCCAAUGCAUUCCAGCCUGGAUGAUGGAGCGAGACUCUGUCUCAAGAAAAAAAAAACAAAAACAAAAACAGAACUCUGCCUCAUAGCGUCUUUUAAGUUAUACACUGGACCUAUCCUUUCCUCACUGACAGACAUUUUAAAAAUUUUUUGGUAAGGCCUAGUUCAUAUAAAAUGUAAUCCAAGCCAAAAGUUAACAAGAAUAAGGGGAGGAAAGGGGACUCCAAUAGCAGAGAAAGGUAUUUACCUGGGAUAUACACUGCAAGAAAAUCAAAGCUAUAAGAAACGUCCAUGAAUAGUAGCCAUAAGGCAUCAGAGUGAUAAAAUUCCUGUCCCUAGGAGGGAAUAUUGGAGUUUGCCAGAGAAACAGAAUGAGAGAGACAGAGAGGUUUAUUGUAGGAAUUGGCUCAUAUGAUUACGGAGGCUGAGAAGACCCACGAUCUGCCAUCUGCAAGCUGGAGAAUCAGGAAAGCUGGAGGUGUAAUUCAGUCAAGUCCAAUGGCCAGAGAAGCAAGUGUACUGAUAUCCAAGAGCAGGAGAAAAUAGAUGUCCCAGAACAAGCAGAGAGGCUGAUUUUGUCCUUCCUCUGCCUUUUUGUUUCAUAUGGGGCACUGAAUGGACUGAUGCCCAUCCACAUUAGUGAGGGUGGAUCUUCUUUACUCAGUCUACCAGUAGAAAUGUCAAUGACUUCCAGAAACACCCUCACCAACACACGUGGAAAUAAUGUUUUACCAGGUAUCUGGGCAUCCCUUGGUUCACUCAAGUUGACACAAAAUUAACCAUCACAGAAGGAGACUGGCCUUACUCUGAAAUUAGGAAACUAAAGAAGUGACCAGAAUGGAGACUAGGUAGAGACAACUAGUUCUCUACCAAACAUGUACAGUUAUUCGUUGGUAUCUGAAGGGGAUUGGUUCCAGGAACUCUCAGGGAUACCAAAAUCUGCAGGUGCUCAAGUCAUUUAUAUAAAAUAUUACAGUAUUUGCAUAUAACCUUUGCACAUCUUCCAUAUACUUUAAAUCAUCUCUACAUUACUUAUAAUAAUGAAUGUGUAAAUGCUAUGAAAAUAGUUACUACACUAUUGUUUAUUUGUAUUUUUAUUGAAUUGUUUUGGGGUGGGGGGCAGCUGUAUCUUUCUUAGUAAUAGAACCCCUGGUUUUAGCUGGGCACAUGACUGCCCUCAAUAAAGAUUAAAGUACCCCAGCCUUCCUUGAGAUUGUGGCCAUGUGACUGAACUUUAGACAGUGAGAUAUAAGCAGAUAUCUUCUGUGGCAGUGUUAGGAAACUAUUAAAGACAGUAAGAACAUUGCCCUUUGCCUUCUUUUUCCUUUCUUCAUUUUUCUGCCUGGAAUGCAAAUGUGAUGGCUAACACCCUAGCAGCCAUUUUAGAUUAUGAAGAUGAGAGUCACUCCCCAGGAAGGGUGGACCUGAAAGCUGGAUUCUAGAUGUGGAAUGACAAUACCAGCCCUGGACUACCUACCUGUAGGCUGUGUGUGUGUGUGUGUGAUUGACAGAGAGAGAGAGAGAUAGAUACCACAAGUAACACAAAGCAUCAUACCUGGGACUGGGAAGGUUAAUGUUUAAACAUUUUAAAUGUGGCAUUGGUUUGUUGAAGACAGUCAAGCAGUAGGUGCUGCAGGCUUUGUUGAGGCUAGAAAGCUGUUGGUCUUUAUUAGGUGAUGGCAAAACAAUGGAUCACAUUUUCAUGUGCUGUGUCUUGGGAGGCAAAUGAUGAGAAUGUAGGAUUGGGGAAAAUGGUAAGGAAAAUCCAAAAUGUUCAUGUUUUCUAACCCCUUCUUGCCAAUCUUAAAAGAAGGACAAACAGGCUAGAUUAAGCAAGUCUACAGUUACAAUUGGAAGGAAACACAGCCGUACUAAGGAAGUACUCUGUCUGUGGCCUGCAGUCUAGUUUGACUAGGUCCUGUAUUUGAGCUUUGAAAGAGUAAAGAAUACAAGUGCUCGUAUACCCCUGAAGUAGUUACCAGCAGUGACUGCAAGGAGGUAAUCUUAUGGGAUGAAACUAUAACUCUGUAUUAACCAUCAUAUAUAGCAUAUAUGUGUAUAUGUAUGUGUGUGUGUGUAUAUGUGUAUAUAAAUAUAUGUGUGUGUAUAUACACACAUGUACACACCCUACAACCCAGUGAUUUCAAAAAAUUAAACAUUUGUUUAGCUCAUGAAUCUGUGGGUUGGGUGAACAUUUCUAUUGGUCUUGGCUGGGCUCACCUGUACCCAGUCAGCUGCAGGGUCUAGCUCUUCUUAUCUUGGCUGGGAUCUCACACAUGUCUAGGAUCAGCUGCUUUACUAGUCUAGGAUUGUCUUGGCUGAGACAGGUGGACUACUCAGUUCUCCUCCACUGCCUUAUCCUUCAGCUGGCCAGCCCAGAAAUGUUGCCAUGUUUACAGCAUAAGAGCAAGCAAGAAAGAAUAAUAUGCAACCACUUUUCCAAGCCUAAGGUGAAAGGGCGGGCAGAACCUGUGGUGUUAGGAGGCAACUCAUACCAGCCCAUGGGUCUACCGUUUAAUUUUCAGAAAUUUGGCAAGCUGAUUGUUAACACAGCUGUUGUUUAAUUUAUGUACUUGUAAUUAAAUAAUUUACAUUAAAACAAAGAUAAUAGGUACUCAAAA
rnacentral:lncRNA from 1 species